AUUGAACGCUGUCGGCAGGCCUGACACAUGCAAGUCGCCCGAGUGGCAGACGGGUGAUUAUUAUCUGUGCAACUGCCUUAUGCAGCGCGAUAACUACUGGCACCUGUAGCUAAUACCGCAUCCCAUCAGAUCUUCCCAGAUGGGAUUAGCUAGUUGGUGGGGUAAAGGCUCACCAAGGCGACGAUCCCUAGCUGGUCUGAGAGUAUGACCAGCCAAAGUGGAACUGAGACACGGUCCAGAAUCCUACGGGAGGCAGCAGGGGGGAAUAGUGAAAAAUGGGGAAAAGCCGGAUGGAGCAAUGCCGGGUGAAGGAAGAAGGAGUUCGGGUUGUAAAGUAGGUGAAGGGGGGAGGCGUUAAACGCAGAAGUAGCAACGGCUAACUCCGUGCCAGCAGCCGCGGUAAUAC
rnacentral:rRNA from 1 species